rnacentral:rRNA from 1 species
CGCUUGAAAGGGUGGCUAAUACGGGAUGUUUCUGGGUCUGUCGCAUGGCGGGUUCGGGAAAGAUGGCACUGUUUGGUGUUUUUGGUGGGGGAUGGGCUCGCGGCCUAUCAGCUUGUUGGUGGGGUGAUGGCCUGCCAAGGCUUUGACGGGUAGCCGGCCUGAGAGGGUGGGCGGUCACACUGGGACUGAGAUACGGCCCAGACUCCUACGGGAGGCAGCAGUGGGGAAUAUUGCACAAUGGGCGGAAGCAUGAUGCAGCGACGUCGCGUGAGGGAUGGAGGC